GUGAGUGAUGAAGUUCUCCGAUCGUAAAACUCUGUUGUUAGGGAAGAACAAGUAUUGUUGGCAAUACGGGCGGCUCCUUGACUGUACUCACCAGAAAGGCGCACGGCUACUAACGUGCCAGCAGCCGCGGUAAUACGUAGGUGGCAAGCGUAGUCCGGAAUAUUGCGCCGUAAAGCGCGCGCAGGCGGGUUUCCUAAGUAUGACUUGAGAGCCCACGGCUCACCCGUGGAGGGUCAUUGGAAAUUGGUGAGACUUGAGUGCAGAAGAGAAGAGCGGAAUUCCACGUGUAGCGGUGAAAUGCGUAGAGAUGUGGAGGAACACCAGUGGCGAAGGCGGCUCUCUGGUCUGUAACUGACGCUGAGGCGCCGAAAGCGUGGGGAGCCGAACAGGAUUAGAUACCCUGGGUAGUCCACGCCGUAAACGAUGAGUGCUAAGUGUUAGAGGGUUUCCGCCCUUUAGUGCUGCAGCUAACGCAUUAAGCACUCCGCCUGGGGGAGUACGGCCGCAAGGCUGAAACUCAAAGGAAUUGACGGGGGCCCGCACAAGCGGUGGAGCAUGUGGUUUAAUUCGAAGCAACGCGAAGAACCUUACCAGGUCUUGACAUCCUCUUGCCCUCCCUAGAGAUAGGGAUUUCCCUUCGGGGACAAGAGUGACAGGUGGUGCAUGGUUGUCUUCAGCUCGUGUCGUGAGAUGUUGGGUUAAGUCCCGCAACGAGCGCAACCCUUGACCUUAGUUGCCAGCAUUCAGUUGGGCACUUUAAGGUGACUGCCGGUGACAAACCGGAGGAAGGUGGGGAUGACGUCAAAUCAUCAUGCCCCUUAUGACCUGGGCUACACACGUGCUACAAUGGAUGGUACAAAGGGUUGCUAGACCGCGAGGUUACGCCAAUCCCAUAAAACCAUUCUCAGUUCGGAUUGUAGGUUGCAACUCGCCUACAUGAAGCCGGAAUCGCUAGUAAUCGCGGAUCAGCAUGCCGCGGUGAAUACGUUCCCGGGCCUUGUACACACCGCCCGUCACACCACGAGAGUUUGUAACACCGGAAGUCGGUGAGGUAACCUCUGGAGCCAGCGCCUUUAAUAGGGGGCCCCCCAUU
rnacentral:rRNA from 1 species